rnacentral:rRNA from 1 species
UGCGUAGGCGGGUCUUUAAGUCAGGGGUGAAAUCCUGGAGCUCAACUCCAGAACUGCCUUUGAUACUGAAGAUCUUGAGUUCGGGAGAGGUGAGUGGAACUGCGAGUGUAGAGGUGAAAUCCGUAGAUAUUCGCAAGAACACCAGUGGCGAAGGCGGCUCACUGGCCCGAUACUGACGCUGAGGCACGAAAGCGUGGGGAGCAAACA